AUGCCGCCGCCUCUCCAGGCCCACCGCAUGCUCCUCUCCCACCGCCGCGCAUCCCCCAUCCCUCGCCGCCGCUUCACCGCGGUUUCUUCCCUCUCCUCCGCCCCCGCCAAGACCCUGGCCCCGGGCCCGCCCGCCUCCUCCAUCCUCUCCAUCCGCGAGUCGCUCCUGUCCGGCGAGAGGACCGUCGCCGACAUCACCUCCGAGUACCUCUCCCGCCUCCGCCGCACCGAGCCGAGCCUGCGCAGCUUCAUCCACGUGGCCGACGCCGCCGCCGAGCGGGAGGCUGAGGAGCUCGACCGGAGGAUUGCCUCCGGUGGGCGGGAUGCGGUGGGGCCGCUCGCCGGGGUGCUCGUCGGUGUCAAGGACAACCUCUGCACCGCCAGCAUGCCCUCCACCGGCGGGUCGCGGAUACUGGACGGGUUCCAGCCCGCGUACGACGCCACGGCCGUGCGGCGGCUGCGCGAGGCGGGCGCCAUUGUGGUGGGGAAGACUAACCUCGAUGAGUUCGGCAUGGGGAGCACCACCGAGGGCUCCGGGUUUCAGGUGACGACAAACCCUUGGGACGAUUCGCGUGUGCCUGGGGGAUCCUCAGGUGGUUCUGCUUCUGCGGUUUCUGCUAGACAAUGUGUGGUGUCCUUGGGGAGUGAUACAGGUGGAAGUGUGAGGCAACCGGCAUCGUUUUGUGGUGUGGUAGGGUUAAAGCCAACUUAUGGCCGGGUAUCUCGUUUUGGCCUCAUGGCUUAUGCUUCAUCACUGGAUGUUGUGGGAUGCUUUGGAUCAUCAGUUUUUGACACUGCAACCAUAUUGUCCGUCAUUGCUGGCCAUGACAAAAUGGAUUCAACCAGUAGCUCUCAUGAUGUUCCAGACUAUAGAUCAGACUUGGCAUCUCUAAGUUUACUAGAAUCAAAACCAUUAAAUAAUGUGAGAAUUGGGAUUAUCCAAGAAACUCUUGGAGAGGGUGUGGAUGCUGGAGUCAUAUCAUCAAUCAGGUCUGCUGCUUCGCAUCUGGAACAGCUGGGAUCAGUAGUGGAAGAGGUUUCGAUGCCUUCAUUUUCUCUUGGCUUACCAGCAUAUUACAUACUGGCCUCUUCUGAAGCCUCGUCUAAUUUGUCACGCUAUGAUGGCAUCAGGUAUGGGCAGCAGGUUUCAGCUGAUGACUUGAAUGAGAUGUAUGGAGAUUCCCGGGCUAAUGGUCUCGGUCAUGAGGUCAAAAUGAGAAUUUUGAUGGGAACUUAUGCAUUAUCUGCUGGAUACUAUGAUGCAUACUACAAACGAGCGCAACAGGUGAGGACGCUGGUUAAGAAAAGCUUCGAAGAAGCUUUGGGAAAAUACGAUAUUCUUAUUUCACCUGCUGCUCCAUCAGCAGCCUACAAGAUAGGUGAAAAGACAAAUGAUCCAUUGGCUAUGUAUGCUGGAGACAUCAUGACGGUGAAUGUCAACAUGGCUGGGCUUCCUGCAUUGGUUGUCCCUUGUGGAUUCGUUGAAGGUGGGUCUGCGGGUCUCCCAGUCGGGCUUCAGAUGAUCGGAUCUCCCUUCAGUGAGGGAAAAUUGCUGAGAGUAGGCCACAUCUUCGAACAAACACUGCCGGAUCUCAGUUUUGUCCCGCCACUGCUGGCAGAUGACUAG
rnacentral:rRNA from 1 species